rnacentral:rRNA from 1 species
AUUGAACGCUGGCGGUAGGCCUAACACAUGUAAGUCGAGCGGAUGAAGGGAGCUUGCUCCUGGAUACAGCGGCGGACGGGCGAGUAAUGCCUAAGAAUAUGGCUGGUAAUGGGUGAUAGCGUCAGGAAACGGGCGCUAAUACCGCAUACGCCCUGAGGGCGAAAGGGGGGGAUCUUCGGACCUUCCGCCAUUAGACGAGCCUAUGUCGGAUUAGCUAGUUGGUGGGGUAAAGGCCUACCAAGGCGACGAUCCGUAACUGGUCUGAGAGGAUGAUCAGUCACACUGGAACUGAGACACGGUCCAGACUCCUACGGGAGGCAGCAGUGGGGAAUAUUGGACAAUGGGCGAAAGCCUGAUCCAGCCAUGCCGCGUGUGUGAAGAAGGUCUUCGGAUUGUAAAGCACUUUAAUUUGGGAGGAAAAGCAGUAAGUUAAUACCUUGCUGUUUUGACGUUACCAACAGAAUAAGCACCGGCUAACUUCGUG